GAUAGGAGAGGCAGAGAGAGAGAGGUCUCCCAUCCAUUGGUUCACUCCCCAGUUGGCUGCGCCAAUCUGAAGCCAGGAGGCAGGAGCUUCUUCCGGGUCUCCCAUGUGGGUGCAGGGGUCCAAGGACUUGGAUCAUCUUCUACUGCUUUCCUGUAUUAUACCAUUUAUGAAAAGUUUUUAAAAACUACAAAAUAAUACCAUGCAUUGUUUUCACUGUUUAUUCGUAUGUCAAAAUUUUAGAGUGGGCAGAUGCAUCACGUAAUUUGACUGCUGUUAUGUCUUGAGAAUCGGAAGGGGAUUGGGACGGGGCAUAUUUCUAAUAUUCUUUUUAUCGAAAGUGUUCUUGAGGAAAAUAUGGUAAUAAUUGCCGAUUUGCGGCAGGGAGCACACCACCGUUUUGUCUUUCUUUGUACUCCUUGUAGUUUUGAGGAUACAUUCAUAAAUUCUUUGAUAUUCCCUCCCUGGGAGGUGGAGCUUAGUUUCUCUUCGUUGGGGCUGGACUUGGUGUCUUGCUUCCCGUAAACAGAAUAUGAGCUGUCGUGGCCAAGACUAGGAGACUGCCGCUUCUCUCCUGGGCUCUUUCAUGUCCCCUCUCUCCGGGUGUGUGAGGAACUGAAGUCUCCCCGCAGCAGCCAGACGAGUGAGCUCGGAGGCAGACCCUCCCGCCUCUUCAGAUGAACACAGCUCUGGCCAGCAGCCUGACCAUGACCUCGUGAGGCUGAAGAACAACCACCAAGCUACGUCACUCUCUGCUUCCGGACCCUUAGACAUCAGGCUCUCCGAGGAGCACAGACCGUGUCCAGCUAUGGCUGUUCCCUUAUCUGCCAGGGAAGGUGGCUGAAGUCAGAAGAGGAAAGGAACCAGACAAGGCUUUUCUCCGGUCCCAAUCACCGGAUUUAACACAUGUGAACUACUGAAAUAUGUCGGGAUAAAAACGAUUACCCAUGCAAACUGUCUCAGUCAACAACGCCAAGACUGCGGACUCCUCCUCCAGUCCCAUGGCCACAGUGUGUAUGCCGGAUACCUGCACGCCACACCGAGAACAUCAGCAUUCUAUCAAGUCAAGCCAUCUUCACUGCGUUCCAGCCCUGCGCCAGGCACUGUGCCAAGCCGUCUGUACGGGACUAUUCCUUCUUCCCCAAGUUUUCACCUAACUUCUGCUCUUUCCUCAGGGAGAUUUCCCAGCGCUCUCAGUUAGUUUAGGUUAUCCACGAAGUGAAUGCCAAUGUUAGGUGAGACACGUAAGAGAUUUAUUGGUGGGGCCUGCAUUGCUGGAGGAAAAAGGGCAAGAACCAAGAGUAGACAGAGAAAGUGUCAAAUAUCCAUGCAGGUCUGAGAUCUACUGAAGAGGAGGAAGUCAGAACCGGAAGGGCAAAGAAUGCAGCCAGGCCCAUGCCGAGUUCUCAGGCUAGAAGUGCCCGUUAGAGAAGUUCCUCACCUUGCCUAAACUGCCUGGCACCAGGUCUGGUCAUCAGCUGGCUGGAGCUCGGGAGAAGCAUGUGUGGCCUUAGCCCUACGCAUGGUGGAAGUCCAGAGAGGCAGUCCGCUGUGCUCUCCAAACAUGAGUCCUGCAUAUCCAUGGCCAUCCCGCCCUCCAGAGUGAGUGAGAGUUCCUCAGUUACUUGCUCUUAAAGCAACAGUGUUUUCUUUUUCUCAGUUAUCAGCAUUAAAAUUUAAAUUUUGCUUUAGCCAUUUUAAAGGUUAUGCUCUCUCUCUGAAUGGUAAGCUGCAUCAGGGAAGUUGCCUAGUUAUCACUGCAUCCCAAGACACACAAGAUGAGAUGGCACACAGUACGUACCACAUACAAUAGUCACCAUUUUUAUCCGCUCGCUAUUCUGUUCCAUUCAUUACUACAUUCAAGCUGGCUUCACACUGCAAUUAAAAACCACAGAUCCCAGAGCUCAAUGUUAUUUCUUCUGGAGCAUCUUAGUUUUUAUAUGUUAGCCAAGCGUAACCCAAAGUGAUGAAGUUGAAGAUGGACUUUUAGGACUGUAUUAAUGUACAUUCAUGCAGAGAUAAAGAGUCCUAUUGUAGGUUAUUUCCAAUUUCCUGAGUGAGUAUACUCUGGUGCCUGCUCUCUUCUGGGCUGAGAUUCCUGUAGCCUGGUGAUCGUGUCUCUCUAAAUAACCUG